rnacentral:tRNA from 1 species
ACAGCGGCGAAAACCGUCCAGACGCGCUCCGAAGGCAGAGGUCACAGGUUCGAAUCCUGUCGGGUGCGCCA